UACGGUAAGGCCCUUUCGGGGGUACACGAGUGGCGAACGGGUGAGUAACACGUGAGUAACCUGCCCACAACUUUGGGAUAACGCUAGGAAACUGGUGCUAAUACUGGAUAUGUGCUCCUGCUGCAUGGUGGGGGUUGGAAAGCUCCGGCGGUUGUGGAUGGACUCGCGGCCUAUCAGCUUGUUGGUGGGGUAGUGGCCUACCAAGGCGGCGACGGGUAGCCGGCCUGAGAGGGUGACCGGCCACAUUGGGACUGAGAUACGGCCCAGACUCCUACGGGAGGCAGCAGUGGGGAAUAUUGCACAAUGGGCGCAAGCCUGAUGCAGCAACGCCGCGUGCGGGAUGACGGCCUUCGGGUUGUAAACCGCUUUCAGCAGGGACGAAGCUUUUUGUGACGGUACCUGCAGAAGAAGCACCGGCUAACUACGUGCCAGCAGCCGCGGUGAUACGUAGGGUGCGAGCGUUGUCCGGAUUUAUUGGGCGUAAAGGGCUCGUAGGCGGUUGAUCGCGUCGGAAGUGGAAACUUGAUGCUUAACGUUGAGCGUGCUUUCGAUACGGGUUGACUUGAGGAAGGUAGGGGAGAAUGGAAUUYCUGGUGGAGCGGUGGAAUGCGCAGAUAUCAGGAGGAACACCAGUGGCGAAGGCGGUUCUCUGGACCUUUCCUGACGCUGAGGACCGAAAGCGUGGGGAGCGAACAGGCUUAGAUAMCCUGGU
rnacentral:rRNA from 1 species